AACCAUGCAGCGAGCACAAAACGAACUAUUCUUUUGCCUUUUUAGCAUGGAGCCAUGCAGCGAGUACAAAACAAACUAUUCUUUAAAGGAUAUCGUGUGCUCGUUGCUUUGAGUGGCAUUCCUCUAUUUUUGGGAGGUGACCUUUCAAAAAUAUAC
rnacentral:snRNA from 2 species